UCCCUCUUAGCUCAGUUGGUAGAGCGCGUCACUAGUAUUAUUCUUAAUGACGAGGUCAGUCGUUCAAGUCGGCUAGAGGGAA
rnacentral:tRNA from 1 species